rnacentral:rRNA from 1 species
GACGAACGCUGGCGGCGUGCCUAAUACAUGCAAGUCGAGCGGACGAAUCGAAAGCUUGCUUUUGAUUCGUUAGCGGCGGACGGGUGAGUAACACGUGGGCAACCUGCCCUGUAGACGGGGAUAACACCGAGAAAUCGGUGCUAAUACCGGAUAACACGAAAUGUCGCAUGACGUUUCGUUGAAAGACGGCGCAAGCUGUCGCUACAGGAUGGGCCCGCGGCGCAUUAGCUAGUUGGUGAGGUAACGGCUCACCAAGGCGACGAUGCGUAGCCGACCUGAGAGGGUGAUCGGCCACACUGGGACUGAGACACGGCCCAGACCCCUACGGGAGGCAGCAGUAGGGAAUCUUCCGCAAUGGACGAAAGUCUGACGGAGCAACGCCGCGUGAGCGAAGAAGGCCUUCGGGUCGUAAAGCUCUGUUGUUAGGGAAGAACAAGUAACGCAGUAACUGGCGUUACCGUGACGGUACCUAACGAGAAAGCCACGGCUAACUACGUG